CGCGGUAAUACGUAGGGGGCAAGCGUUGUCCGGAAUGACUGGGCGUAAAGCGCGCGCAGGCGGUUUUUCACGUCUGGGGUGAAAGCCCGGGGCUCAACCCUGGGAUGGCCUUGGAAACGGGAAGACUUGAGGGUCGGAGAGGUCAGGGGAAUUCCACGUGUAGCGGUGAAAUGCGUAGAGAUGUGGAGGAAUACCAGUGGCGAAGGCGCCUGACUGGACGAAACCUGACGCUGAGGCGCGAAGGCGUGGGGAGCAAACAGGAUUAGAUACCCUGGUAGUCCACGCGGUAAACGAUGAGUGCUAGGUGUCGGAGGGUACCACCUCCGGUGCCGAAGGAAACCCAAUAAGCACUCCGCCUGGGGAGUACGGUCGCAAGACUGAAACUCAAAGGAAUUGACGGGGGCCCGCACAAGCAGUGGAGCAUGUGGUUUAAUUCGAAGCAACGCGAAGAACCUUACCAGGGCUCGACAUCGGUCUGAACGGAGUAGAGAUAUUCCUUCCCUUCGGGGCAGACUAGACAGGUGGUGCAUGGUUGUCGUCAGCUCGUGUCGUGAGAUGUUGGGUUAAGUCCCGCAACGAGCGCAACCCUUGCUCUGUGUUACCAGCGCGUGAUGGCGGGGACUCACAGAGGACUGCCGGUGACAAACCGGAGGAAGGCGGGGAUGACGUCAAAUCAUCAUGCCCCUUAUGUCCUGGGCGACACACGUGCUACAAUGGGCGGUACAACGGGACGCAAGACCGCGAGGUGGAGCCAAACCCAAGAAAGCCGUUCGUAGUUCGGAUUGCAGGCUGCAACUCGCCUGCAUGAAGCCGGAAUUGCUAGUAAUCGCGGAUCAGCAUGCCGCGGUGAAUACGUUCCCGGGCCUUGUACACACCGCCCGUCACACCACGAGAGUGGGUAACACCCGAAGU
rnacentral:rRNA from 1 species